rnacentral:rRNA from 1 species
AUGGACGACUACCUCAAGCUACAUGAAGUCCCUUCCAAAGAUCAAGUGAAGUAUGCCACAAGAAACUUCCACAACUACGUGUCCACAUGGAGGCUUCACACACCUUCGGAGAGCAACGACAUGAGUUGUCCCAAGACGAAGAGAGCUAUGCGGCGAGAGUUCAUGCCUCCAGCCUACACGGAACAACUUCUACGCCAAUUGGCGAACACCAUCCAAGGAUCCAAGUCCAUCGACGCGUACUUCAAGGAGAUGAAGAAUGCCUUGCGACGAGCCGGCGUGGACGACCCCAUUUUGAUGAAGUUCCACUUCAGGAUGGGAUUGCACAACGGCAUCUCCAAGACUAUCUUCCUCGAGAACUACCAGUCCCUUGACGACAACUACAUUGGUGCUCUCAAGGCGGAACAAGAACUCAUGAAGGCCAAGGCUUCUCAACCCCAAGUGAUGUAG